CUGAUUUUUCAAAAGAAACCUUACAAAUAAGAAGGGGGAGAUUCAAAAGAUGGCGGCAUGGUAGGAGGGAUCAGAUUCUACUUCCCCCUACACAUGGGAGAAAAACCUAUCCAAUCUAUGGAGGAACAGAGCAAACAGCCAACAGUACCAUGGCAUACAUGAAAAUAGGAGAUCAAAAAUUGUACCAGACAUUGAAAAACCAGAUGGUAAGGGGAAUGCUUCAGGAUAACAGAGGUCCAGGGAUCA